GCCUGUUCCCUGGCUUCCUCCAUCCUGUGCAGCCCAUAGACUGUGACCAUCUAUCUGGCCACUGUGGCCCUUCCUUUCCCUUUGUCCUGUUGGAAUCUCUGAGCAAGAUCUCCCAGGUCCAUCGAAACACCUGCUUUGUCCAGUUUUGACUGGGUCUUUGGGCACUACUGGGCCAUCCCAACUGUCCACAGGGCCCUCAAUAACGUGCAUUGCACCUGACAUCUCCCAGCAGUGCUCAGCAGCCCCUGCUGACCAGGUCCAGGUCCCUGCUGGCCAUAUCCCACACAUCAGGUCCUCCCUGACCACACUCUCACUGAUUAGAACCCCAUGACCAGGCCCCACUAACCAGGCCCUUGCUGCUAGGCCAACAGUGUCCAGGACCCCACUGACCAGGACCUUACUGACCAGGGCCUCACUGACCAGGUUCUUACUGACCAGGGCCUCACUGACCAGGUUCCACUGAUCAUGACCCCAUUGCCUGGCACCAUAGAUGAGGCCCCACUGACCAGGCCUCCAGGGAACAGGCUGCCACUGACCAGGCCCCUAUUAACCAGGCCAUAGGUGACAAGAUGCCCCUGACUGUGACCCUAGUGAGUAGGCCCCACUGAAUAGGCACCCACUGCUCAGAUCCCUGCUGACCAGGUCACCCCACAGACCACUGCUACAAGAGCCACCACUGAAUGCGCUCUCUCUGAACAGGCCGCCACUGAUUAGGUUCCACUGACCAGGCUGCGCUGACCAGGGCCCCACUGACAAGGGCCUCACUGAUGAGGACAUGGCCAGCAGGCCCUGCUGACUGGGUCCCAUGUGACCAGGCCUCCAAUGAAUAGCACCCCUUGAGCUGGUCACCAGUGACCCGGCCCAUGCUGACAAGGCCACCACUAAGCCCCAGCUGACCAGGUCUCCAUUGACAAAGUCCUGCAGCCUAGUUUUACACUGACCAGACACCAAACAAGUGGCUGCCACUAGGUCCCCACUCACCAAGACCCCACUACUAGAUCCCCCUAAUGAGACCCUCUCUAAGCAGACCCCUGCUGACCACACCCCCCAAUAAAUAGGCCUCACUGACCAAGUCCCAGCUGACUAGGUCCACUGAUGAGGCCCACACUGAUCAGGGCCCUCAUAACCAUACCAGAAGGACAAGCGACAAUGAGAUAUUUCAUAUGGCAGGAGUAGGAGCAAGACAGAGAGAGAAAGGAGGUGCCACAUCCUGUUAUACAACCAGAUCUCAUGAGAACUCACUAUCAGGAGAUCAGCAUCAAGAAGAUUAACCACUGGUGAAGGAAACACCACCCACACCACCACCCACUGUUUGCAGGCAGAAGCCUCCUGCAGAGGCAGAGCCUCUUGGGAAACUUCUACCAUGGCAGUGCAGAAGGGAAACAUGGGCUUGGAGCCCCGACACAGGAGGUCACCAUCCUCCAGACCCCAGAUUCAUAAGCCCACCAACAGUUCACAUCCUCAGUAUGGAAAAGCUACAGGCACUCCACACCAGCCUAGCCCAUGAGAGCAGACAUGGGGGCUGAAGCCUGCAAAGCUGCAGGUGCACUGCCCUAGCAGAGGUUUCCCAUGAGCCUCUGCCUCUGAAGCAGACUACUCCCCCUUCCUACUACCCACCACCCUCCCACCACCCUACUGCCAACCUACUUCCCACCCUACCCACCCCUUUUCCUUCCAACCCCAAACCCCUCCUGCCAUGAUUACAUCACCUCCCACCAGGCCCCACCUCCAACAUUAAGGAGUACAUUCCACAGGAGUUUUGGUAAAGAAACACAGCCAAACCAUAUUAUUCUGACCCUGGUACCCCAGAAUCUCAUGUCCUUCUCACAGAGCAAAAUACAUUCAUGCCUUGUCAAAAGUUUCCAAAAGUCUUAACUCAUUCCAGCAUUAACUCAAAUGUAAAAAGUUCAACAUCUCAUCUGAGACAAGUCUACAGUCCCUUGCACCUAUGAGUCCCUGAAUUUAAAAGGAUGUUCUUUUCUUUCAGGGUACAAUGAUGGUACAGGCAUUGGGUAAGCUUUCUCAAUUCAAAGGGAAGAAAUUUCCCAGGAAAAAACCACAAAUAGAACCACACACCCAAUGCAAGUCCAAAACCCAGGAGGCCAGUAUCCAUUCAAUCUCACAGCUCCAAAAUCACGAAGAGAACUCACUAGCAUAAGCACAGCAAUAAGGAGAUGGUGUUUAAUCAUUUGUGAAGGAUCCACCUCCCACCACCACUUUUCACCCCUCACCCCCACCAUAAUCCCCUCAUUCUCCCUACCCCCCACCUUCCAACCCACACUCUCCACCAUGAUUAAAUCACCCUCCACCAGGCCCCACCUUUAACUUUAUUAUUCUGUCCCUGGCUCCCAAAUCUCAUGUCCUUCUCACAUUGCAAAAUACAAUGAUGCCUUCCCUACAGUCCCCCCAAAUCUUGUAUCAUUCCAGCAUUUAUACAAAUGUCCAAAGCUUAAAGUCUCAUCUGACACAAGGCUAUACAGUCCCUUAGGCACAUAAGCCUCUGAACUAUAAAGCAAGUUAACUGCUGCCAAGCUACAAUGCUUGUGCAGGCAAUGGGUAAGCAUUCUCAACUGAAAGGAAAAAUUUUGCCAGAAAGAGCAAAACACAUAGAGGACUUACAGGCCCCAUGAAACUCCAAACCCAGAAGGCCAGUCAUUCAAUCCUACAGUUCCAAAAUCACCCUUUUUGAAACGUUGUCCCACAUCCAGGGCACAGGGACAUGAGGGCUGGGCUCUGAAGGCCUUGGGCAGCCCUGCACCUGUGGCUUUGCAGGGUUUAUGCCCCACAGCUGCCCCCAUGGACUGGGCGGGUGUUGAGUGCCUACAGCUUUUCCUGACUGAUGGUACAAGCUGUUGGUGGGUCUAUGAAUCUGGGGUCUGCAUGACGGUGGCCUCCAGUGUGGGGGCUCCAACCCCAUAUUUUCCUUCUGCACUGCCCUAGUAGAAGUUUCUUAUGAGGCUCUGCAUUUUUGGGAUGCUUUUGUCUGGUCACCCAGGCAUUUCCAUACAUCUUCCAAAGUCUACAAAAAGGCUCCCAAGCCUCUAGUCUCAUGAUCCAUCCACCUAGUGGCUUAACACUAUGAGGAAGUUACCAAGGCUUCUAGCUUGCACCCUCUGAAGCAGUGACCCAAGCUGCAUCUGUGCAUUUUCAGCCAUGGCUGGAGCUGGAGCUGCAGGGACGCAGGCAGCAGUGCCCUGAGGCUGCACAUAGAGCGGGGUCACAGGACUGGCCCAGGAAACCAUGCUUCUCUCCUAGGGCCCAGGGCCUGUGAUAGCAAGGGCUGCUGCAAAGGUCUCCGAAAUGCCGUCAAGGGCUUUUCCCUAUUGUCUUGGCUAUUAGCACUGGGCUCCUUUUCAUGCAAGUUUCUGAAGCCUUCCUGAAUUUUCCCCCUGAAAAUCAGCUUUUCUUUUUGACCACUUGGCCAGGCUGCAAAUUUUCCAAACUUUUGAGUCCUGUUUCUCAUUUAACAUAAGAGUUGGGACUCAUUUAAUAUAAGUCCCAUCCAGAGGUCAUUUUCUCAGUCACACAUCAGAGCACAGGCUGUUCAAUGCAGACAGGACACCUCUUGAGCUUUGCUUCCUAGAAGUUCAUUCCACCAGAUAUGCACUGCAUCAUCAACCUCAAGUUUAAAGUUUCACAGAUCUCCAGGGCAGGGUCACCAUGCAGCCAUGUUCUUUGCUACAGCAAAAUAAAAGUAACCUUGGCUUCUGUUCCCAGGAAGUUCCUCAUUUUUAUCUGAGACCUUCCAAGUCUGGUUUUCACUGGCCAUUUUCCUGUCAGCCUUCUGAUCACAAGUAGUUAACAAUUCUUUACAAAGAUCCAAACUUUUCUUCAUUUUCCUGUCUUCGAAGCCCUCCAAACUCUCCUGAUCUCUGUCUGCCACCCCCUUCUGAACCUGCUUCUACAUUAUCAGCUAUCUUUGUCACAGCCUGGCAAUGUGGUAAAGGAAGACAAGUCCAUUUUCAGGGAGAAAAUUCAAGAAGCCCUCAGAUACUUGAAUGAAAAGAAGCUGAGUACUGACUCCCAAGACAAUAGGGAAAAGGCCUUGAAGACAUUUCAUACAUCCACUUCCCAGUACUAAUUUUCUCUAUGAUCAUAAAGAACCUCAUGAUUCUGCAGGCUGUAAGGAAACAUACUGGCUUCUGAAUCUGGGAGGACUCAGGAAGCCUCCCAAUCAUACCAGAAUGUCAAGGGGCAAUGAGAUGAUUCACGUGGCAGGAGUAGGAGAAAGACAGAGAGAGGAAAGAGGUGCCAUGCCCUAUUAUACAAGCAGAUCUCAUGAGAACUCACAAGGUCAGCAUCAAAAAGAUGGUGUUUAACCAUUGGUGAAGGAUUUGCCCCCCACCCCCAACUCCCACUGUUUCCAGGCAGAAGCCUGAUGCAGAGGCAGAUCCUCUUGGAAAACCUCUACUAGGGAAAUGUGGAAGGAAAAUAUGGGCUUGGAGCCCCCACGCAGAUGGCCACCAACCUCCAGACCCCAGAUCCAUAGACCCACCAACAGCUCACAGCCUCAGUUUGAAAAAGGUAUGGGUAGUCAACACCAGCCCACCCCAUGAGAGCAGCCACAGGGGCUAAACCCUGUAAAGUCACAGGUGCACUGUCCUAGUAGAGGUUUUCCAUGAGCCUCUGCCUCUGCAGGAGGCUACUCCCCCUUCCUACUACCCACCACCCUCCCACCACCCUACUGCCAGCCUACACCUCCCGACCCUACACACUUGUUUUUCCUUCCACCCCCACCAAUCUCCCAUUUAUGGUUCAAUCACCUCCCACCAGGCUGCACUUCCAACAUUCGGGAGCACAAUUCCCCAUGAGUUUUUGUAGGUAAACACAGCCAAACCAUUUUAUUCUGACCCUGAGACCCCCUAAUCUCAUGUCCUUCUCACAGAGCAAAAUACAAACGUGCCUUUUGAAAAGUUUCCAAAAGUCUUAACUCAUUCCAGCAGUAACUCAAAUGUAAUAAGUUCAAGUUUCAUCCAGGACAAUGCUGCAGUCCCUUCUGCCUAUGAGUCUCUGAAGGGAAACGGGAGUUCUUUUCUUUCAAGUUACAGUGAUGGGUAAGCUUUCUCAAUCCAAAGGGAAGAUUUUCCCAGAAAAAUAACACAAUUGGGACACAGGCCCAGUGCAAGCCCAGAAGCCAGCAGGAGAGUAUUCAUUUAUCAUGAGAACUCACUAUCACACAGACAGGAUUAAGGAGAUAGUGUUUAACCAUUUGUGAAGGAUCUGCCCCGGUCUCCAUGUUUCACGACCACCCCCACCAUGAACCCCCAUUCUUCUCACACCCACACUUCCAACCCCCACUGUCCACCAUGAAUAAAUCACCUUCCACCAAGCCCCAGCUUUAACAUUCCCCAUUACAAUUACACAUGAGUUUUGGUAGAGGCACAGAGCCAAAUCAUAUUAUUCUGCCCCUGGCCCCCCAAAUCUCAUGUCCCUCUCACACUGCAAGAUACAAUGAUGCCUUCUCUACAGCCCCCCAAAGUCUUAACUCAUCCCAGCAUUUACUCAAAUGUCCAAAGCCCAAAGUCUCAUCUGAGACAAGGCUACAGUCCCUUCUAUCCCUGAGCCUCUGAAAUACAAAGCAAGUUAACUACUUCCAAGGUAUAAUGCUUGUCCAGGCAUUGGGUAAGCAUUCCCAGACAAAAAGAAGAAAUUUGCCAGAAAGAAGUGCAAAACACAGAUGGGACUUACAGACUCCAUGCAAGUCAAAAACCUAGCAGGCCAUUCAUUCUAUCCUACAGCUCCAAAUAAUCUUUUUUGAAACUACAUCUCACAUCCAGAGCACAGGGUGGUGAGAUGGCUGGGCUCCCAAGGCUUUGGGCAGCUCAGCACCUGUGGCAUGGCAGGGUCUUUCCCCAAAGCUGCCCUCAAUGGCUGGGCUGCUGUUGAGUGCCAAUAGCUUUUCAACACUAAGAGUGCAAGCUGUUGGUGGGUCUAUGAAUCUGGGGUCUGGAAAAUGGCGCCUCCCUGUAUGGGGGCUCCAACCCUAUAUGCUUGUUCUGCAAUGCCCGAGUAGAGGUUUACCAUGAGGCUCUGCCUGUUGGAAAAGCUUCUGCCUGGACACCCAGGCUUUCCCAUACAUGCUCUGGAGUCUAGACAAAGGCUCCAAAGCCUCUAGUUUUGUGCUGUGUGUACCUGCUGGCUUAACACUAUGUGGAAGCCACAAAGGCUUGGAGCUUGCACCCCUGAAGCAGUGACCCAAGCUGUGCCUGUGCAUCUUUCAGCCAUGGCUGGAGCUGGAGAUGAAGGUGUAGGGGUGCAGGCAGCAGUGUCCUGAGGCUGCACAUAGUAGUGGGGCCAUAGGGCUGGCCCAGAAAAAACAUUCUUUUUUCCUAAGCCCCAGGGCCAGUGACAACAAGGGCUGCUACAAAGGUCUUUGAAAUGUCUUCGAGGCCUUUUUUCCCAUUGUCUUGAAUUAUUAGCACUGGGCUCCUUUUUUAUGCAAAUAUCCAAAGGCUUCUGGAAUUUUCUCCCUGAAAUUCAGCUUUUCUUUUUGACCACUUUGCCAUGUUGCAAAUUUUCCAAAGGAUUAAGCUCUGCUUCUCAUUUAAAUAUAAGUUUCAACUCAAGGUCAUUUCUUUGGUCACACAUAAUACCACAGGCUGUUCGACGUAGGCAGGACAACUCUUGAGCUUUGCUGCUUAGAAGUUCAUUCCACCAGAUAGACCCUAAAUCUUCACCCUCAAGUUCAAAGUUUCCCAGAUCUCCGGAGCAGGGACACUGUGCAGCCAAAUUCUUUGCUAAGGCAAAAGAACAAAACCUUGGCCCCUGUUCCCAGUAAGUUUCUCAUUUUCAUCUGAGAGCUUCUAAGCCUGGCCUUCACUGUCCAUCCUUCUGUCAGCCUUUUAAUCACAACUAACAAGUCAUUACAAUGGUCCAAACUUUCCCUCAUCUUCCUGUCUUCUUCCAAGCUCUCCAAACGCUCUAACCUCUGGCCAUUACCGAAUUCCGAACCUGCUUCUACAUUUUCAGCUAUCUUUGUCGCAGCCUGGCAAUGUGGUAAAAGAAGAAAAGUCCAUUAUCUGGGGAAAACUUCAAGAAGGCUUCAGAUAUUAGCAUCAAAGAAGCCCAGUGCUACCAGCCAAAAGAUUGGGGAAAAGGCCUUGAAGGCAUUUCAUAGCUUCACUUCACAGCAUUGAUUUUCUGCAUGUACAUAAAGAAAAGAGGUUGAAUUGACUCACAGUUCUGGAGGCUGUAAGGAAAGCAUAGUGGUUUCUGCUUUCAGGAGGACUCAGGAAGCCUCCCAUUUAUACCAGAAGGCCAAGCAGCAAUGAAAUGUUUCAUAUUCCAGGAGUAGAAGCAAGACAGAGGAAAGAUGCCACAUCCUGUCAUACAACCAGAUCUCAAGAGAACUCAGUAUCAGGAGAUCAGCAUCAAGAAGAUGGUGCUUAACUAUUGGUGAAGGAUCCACCCAAUACCCCACAUCCACCCCCCAGUGUUUCCAAGCAGAAGUCUGAGGCAGAGGCAGAGCCUCUUGGAAAACCUCUACUAGGGCAGUGCAGAAGGAAAAUAUGGGUUUGGAGCCCCCACGCGGGAUACCACCAUCCUCCAGACCCUAGAGUCAUAGACCCACCAAAAGCUCCCACCCUCAGUAUGGAAAAGCUACAGGCACUCAACACCAGCCCAGUCCAUGAGAGCAGCCAUGGGGGCUAAAGCCUGCAAAGCCACAGGUGCACUGCCCUAGUAGAGGUUUUCCAUGAGCCUCUGCCUCUGUAGCAGGCUACUCCCACUUCCUACUACCCACCACCCUCACACCACCCUACAGCCAACCUACUCCUCCAACGUUACCCACUUCUGUUUACUUCCAACUCCACCCCUCUCAAGUACAGGAAUAAAUCACCUCCCACCAGGCCACACCUGCAACAUUUGGAAUUACAAUUUCCCAUGUGUUUUGGUAGAGACACACAGCCAAACCAUAUUAUUCUGACCCUGAUCCCCCGAAUAUCAUAUCCUUCUCAGCGAGUAAAAUACAAUCUUGCCUUUUCAAAAGUUGCCAAAAGCCUUAACUCAUUCCAGCGUUAACACAAAUGUAAAAGGUUCAACAUCUCAUCUGAGAAAAGUCUACAGUCCCUUUUGCCUAUGAGUCCCUGAAUUUCAAAGGGAGGUCUUUUUUUCAAGGUACGAUGAUGGUACAGGCAUUGGGUAAAUUUUCUCAAUCCAAAGGGAAGAUAUUUGUCAGGAAAGUAACACAAAUGGGAUCACAGGCCCAGUACAAGUCCAAAACCAAGCAGGACAGUAUCUAUUCAAUCUUACAGCUCCAGAAUCAUCACGAGAACUCACCAUCAUGAGGAAAGCAUUAAGGAGACGGUGUUUAACCAUUUGUGAGGGAUCCUCCCCAACACCCACCUUUCACCCCUCACCCCCACCAUAAUCCCCCCAUCCUCCCCAAUCCCCACCUUCCAACCCCCACUGUCCUCCAUGAUUAAAUCAUCUUCCACCUGGCCCCACUUUUAACGUUUCCAAUUACAAUUCCAAAUGAGUUUCUGUAGGGACACACAGCCAAAUCUUAUUCUGUCCCUGCCUCCCCCAAUCUCAUGUACUUCUCACUUUGCAAAAUACAAUGAUGCCUUACCUACAGUCCCACAAGGUCUUAACUCAUUCCAGCAUUUACUCAAAUGUCCAAAGCCCAAUGUCUCAUCUGAGAAAAGGCAGUCUCUUCUGCCCCUGAGCCUCUGAAAUACAAACAAGUUAACUACUUCCAAGGUACAAUGAUUGUCCAGGCAUUGAGUUCCCAGCCAAAAGGAAGAUUUUUGCCUGAGAGAACAAAACAUAAAUGGGACUUACAGGCUCCAUGAAAAGUCCAAAACCCAGCAGGCCAGUUAUUCAAACCCACAGCUCCAAAGUCAUCCUUUUUUAAUCCUUGUCCCACAUCCAGGGCACAAGGGCGUGAGGGCUGGGCUCCCAAGGCCUUGGGCAGCUCACCUGUGGCUUUGCAGUGUUCAGCCUGUGCAGCUGCCCUCAUGGGCUGUGCUGGUGUUGAGUGCCUGGGGUUUCUAACCCAUGGAGGGUGCAAAGCUCUUGGUGGGUCUAUGAAUCUGGGGUCUUCAUGAUGGUG
rnacentral:lncRNA from 1 species